rnacentral:rRNA from 1 species
ACGAACGCUGGCGGCAGGCUUAACACAUGCAAGUCGAGCGCCUGUAGCAAUACAGGAGCGGCAGACGGGUGAGUAACACGUGGGAACGUGCCCAAAGGUACGGAACAACUCCGGGAAACUGGAGCUAAUACCGUAUGUGCCCGAGAGGGGAAAGAUUUAUCGCCUUUGGAUCGGCCCGCGUCUGAUUAGCUAGUUGGUAGGGUAAUGGCCUACCAAGGCGACGAUCAGUAGCUGGUCUGAGAGGAUGGCCAGCCACACUGGGACUGAGACACGGCCCAGACUCCUACGGGAGGCAGCAGUGGGGAAUAUUGGACAAUGGGCGCAAGCCUGAUCCAGCCAUGCCGCGUGAGUGAUGAAGGCCUUAGGGUUGUAAAGCUCUUUCGCCAGGGACGAUAAUGACGGUACCUGGAUAAGAAGCCCCGGCUAACUUCGU